UGGAGACAGGUUAUCGAAAUGGCAGCGCUACAGUAGCUAGAAAAAUAGUGUAGAAGCGAUUGCUAACUAAGACCUAAUGUCCACUUAGGCUGUGCGAGGGCCUCCGACAAAAUGACGUAGCCCAUUCAUUUUCAACAAAAGGAAAUUCCUCGUGCCUAAGUUAGCAAGAAGAGAGAAGCUCGGCAAUUUAUGGAGACAGGUUAUUGACACAGCAGCGCUACUGUAGCUAGCAAAAUAUUGUAGGAGCGAUUGCUAACUAAGACCCAAUGAUGCCCUCCGACAAAAUGACGGAGCCCAUUCAUUUUCAACAGAAGGAGGCGAGUAUGGCGAGAGAAACUCGGUGAACAUGGCGGGACUUAAGUUGGGGAAAGCUGAAUAUUAUGAAAUUACUAGGUGAUAUUGCGGCAUGAUUAACAAAUCGAGGCUCACGAUAGCUUCCAGCCUGUGCUGGAUGGCUGUUGAUACCUCGCACUACCAAGCAUGCUGUCGGCUUGCUAGCACCCACAUGGUGAUCAAUCAAGCGUUUUAUCGGUUCAUAUGAACACGUUCUGUAAUUGUAAACAAUUUUAGAUGGCUAGCUUAUCAUCAUGGCUAACUUCGGGGCAAAAUAAUUUACUCAUUUACUGUUAAUUAGCCACUGCAAAUCUCUUUAUUAGCAAACGUAACCCACCUCCAGAGGUGCAAGGUAUCUCCAGUAAUGUUGACUUUUUCACGUUCUAUGGUGUCUCCAUUUUCUUAGCGUAUUUGAGAGUGACGGGACAGAGAUGGAUGAAGACUACAUUUUUCAAGAACUCCACACCAACAACUUUAUGGUGUUAAUUAAAGGCGAGCGAUGGAGGACAUCCAACAGAAUCCAGGUAACAAAACAAGAAAAUAUAGGUCCUCGUUGCAACCACGGUUGGUCGUGUUUCCCUGCUCAGACGUUGUAUGCAUCAACUAAUGGUCGCGCACCACCUCAUUGACUGUGAAGUAAGGCAACAGAUUGCUAGAAUAUAAUGUGGUAAGCUGAUUCGUACAAUACCUAUCCAGGCAUUGUAAGAUCUUACAUGUGUCAGCAACAUCUGAGCAGUGGAACACAGCCAUUAUCUUCAGGUGAUCUCGUAUUUAACCAUCAACGUCUGAGUAGUGGAACACAGCCAUUAUCUUCAGGUGAUCUCGUAUUUAACCAUCAACGUCUGAGCAGUGGAACACAGCCAUUAUCUUCAGGUGAUCUCGUAUUUAACCAUCAAUGUCUGAGCAGUGGAACACAGCCAUUAUCUUCAGGUGAUCUCGUAUUUAACCAUCAAUGUCUGAGCAGUGGAACACAGCCAUUAUCUUCAGGUGAUCUCGCAUUUAACCAUCAAUACACGUUAAGAUCACCCGCACAGCUGAUCUCAACCGCUCCCUAAAAUCUGAGCUUCAUUUGAGGUGUAAACUUAGUCCUCCUCUCAACCCCAAAAUUUCUAAAACAUAUUCACCCUCCCUACAGGGUGUUAUCUUCAGUUGAAAUAAAACCUGGUAAUCGAGCAGACUAAGGGUUGAUUGAACUAUUUAACAAUCAUUCAGUACAACUGAAAAAAAGUAAUUUCUCCUAUAAGACAGCAAUUAUACUGUGGCAAUAUCAUCAUACAGGUUAUAUCAAUAUCUCAUAUAGAUUAUAUCAAUAUAUUAUACAGGUUAUAUCAAUAUAUCAUACAGGUUAUAUCAGUAUAUCAUACAGGUUAUGUCAAUAUAUCAUACAGGUUAUAUCAAUAUAUCAUACAGGUUAUAUCAAUAUAUCAUACAGGUUAUAUCAAUAUAUCAUACAGGUUAUAUCAAUAUAUCAUACAGGUUAUAUCAAUAUAUCAUACAGAUUAAAUCAAUAUCAUCAUACAGAUUAUAUCAAUAUAUCAUACAGAUUAUAUCAAUAUAUCAUACAGGUUAUAUCAAUAUAUCAUACAGAUUAUAUCAAUAUAUCAUACAGGUUAUAUCAAUAUAUCAUACAGGUUAUAUCAAUAUAUCAUACAGGUUAUAUCAAUAUAUCAUACAGAUUAUAUCAAUAUAUCAUACAGAUUAUAUCAAUAUCAUCAUACAGAUUAUAUCAAUAUAUCAUACAGAUUAUAUCAAUAUAUCAUACAGGUUAUAUCAAUAUAUCAUACAGAUUAUAUCAAUAUAUCAUACAGGUUAUAUCAAUAUCAUCAUACAGAUUAUAUCAAUAUAUCAUUCAGAUUAUAUGAAUGGAAAACUCAUUUUAGUGCACUAAUUACUUUUUCAUUUCCAAUUGAUGUAACCCAUUACCUUGUCUAUUAAUUUGUCUAAUAAAGCAUGACUUUCUAUUAUCAAGAGGUCCAGCUAGCUGCAUGUUAAAUUCUGCCCGUUGGUUGCAAUUGGCCAGGCUUGUUUAUGGUUGCAUGCAACAACCAAUGUUUGCGUGCCACAUCAUCUACUGUGCAGUCGGGCAACAGAUUCCUAUAACAUAUAAUGUGAUUAGCUGAUAUGUAAAAUACCUAUCCAGGUGUUGUAAGGUCUGGCAUGCGUCAGCAACGUCUGAGCAGGGGAACACGACCAUUAUCUGCCAGCCUGUCAAUAUGCAUGUCUGGACUGAUAAGUGUUUGGUCUACACGUACCGCCUAUAAAGUUCUAUAACGUGAUCAUUGCUGACAUAGGCCUGAAUGCAGCCUGCCACAGACUUGGGACUAAGUGAACUCAACCUAAUCCUGAUGUUUCUUUUCUUGACCUCUCCGCUGUACCCCAUCAGUGCUCAUAUACCUAAUGCCCCUGGGGCAGACCAACAACAACCCACUUUGAAUGGGUCUGGGCUAGCUGCCAGGUCAAUAAUGGCAUGGCCAGAGAAAACACACACACACAUCGAAACAGGAAGCAGGCCCAUUCUGAUGACAAAUCAUGUCUGCUGGUAAGCUGAAUUCACAGCUAGGGCUGAGACAGAGUUGACUGAGCCUAUGAAUUUUUACACAGUGAGGUGCCCGCGUUUACACACAAAUCACACACGCACGUCACAGGAGGUUGGUGGCACCUUAAUUGGGGAGGAUGGCCUCGUGGUAAUGGCUGGAGCAGAAUUAGUGGAAUUGUAUCAAAAUACAUCCAUUCAUACAUGCCAUUCCAUUUGCUCCAUUCCAGCCAUUAUUAUGAGCCGUCCUCCCCUCAGCAGCCUCCACUGACGCGCGUACUGUACAUACGCACACACAGCUUGGUGCAGUCAAGGAAAGCUGACUGGGGACGACUAAUGAUGUCAAUGGCGUUCGCUAGGUUUUAUUGUACUUUUACACAGUAAAACAUCAACUGAAAUAAACACCAAACUGUCAUGAACAUAACUGAUAUAAAUGUCUAGUUUUAUGUGUUCCAAUGUGUGAAUGCGUUGUUCUUCUUGCUCUGACGGACCUUCAGACUAGUACUCUACUGGAAACACUAUCAAAGACUGUUGCAGAGCAUGAAUUCAAUUAAGACUAUUGCCAGGGAAUAUAGGCUUUCUCGUAUAUACUGUAUGCUCUGUCUAUAAGGGUCAGACUUAUACUGAGAGACAUCCUCGUAUAUACUGUACAGUGAGGGAAAAAAAUAUUUGAUCCCCUGCUGAUUUUGUACGUUUGCCCACUGACAAAGAAAUGAUCAGUCUAUAAUUUUAAUGGUAGGUUUAUUUGAACAGUGAGGGACAGAAUAACAACAAAAAAAUCCAGAAAAACGCAUGUCAAAAAUGUUAUAAAAUGAUUUGCAUUUUAAUGAGGGAAAUAAGUAUUUGACCCCUCUGCAAAACAUGACUUAGUACUUGGUGGCAAAACCCUUGUUGGCAAUCACAGAGGUCAGACGUUUCUUGUAGUUGGCCACCAGGUUUGCACACAUCUCAGGAGGGAUUUUGGCCCACUCCUCUUUGCAGAUCUUCUCCAAGUCAUUAAGGUUUCGAGGCUGACGUUUGGCAACUCAAACCUUCAGCUCCCUCCACAGAUUUUCUAUGGGAUUAAGGUCUGGAGACUGGCUAGGCCACUCCAGGACCUUAAUGUGCUUCUUCUUGAGCCACUCCUUUGUUGCCUUGGCAGUGUGUUUUGGGUCAUUGUCAUGCUGGAAUACCCAGCCACGACCCAUGUUCAAUGCCCUGGCUGAGGGAAGGAGGUUCUCACCCAAGAUUUGACGGUACAUGGCCCCGUCCAUCGUCGCCUUUGAUGCGGUGAAGUUGUCCUGUCCCCUUAACAGAAAAACACCCCCAAAGCAUAAUGUUUCCACCUCCAUGUUUGACAGUGGGGGUGGUGUUCUUGGGGUCAUAGGCAGCAUUCCUCCUCCUCCAAACACGGCGAGUUGAGUUGAUGCCAAAGAGCUCCAUUUUGGUCUCAUCUGACCACAACACUUUCACCCAGUUGUCCUCUGAAUCAGUCAGAUGUUCAUUUGCAAACUUCAAUGGGCAUGUAUAUGUGCUUUCUUGAGCAGGGGGACCUUGCGGGCGCUGCAGGAUUUCAGACCUUCAGGCGUAGUGUGUUACCAAUUGUUUUCUUGGUGACUGUGGUCCCAGCUGCCUUGAGAUCAUUGACAAGAUCCUCCCGUGUAGUUCUGGGCUGAUUCCUCACCGUUCUCAUGAUCAUUGCAACUCCACGAGGUGCGAACUUGCAUGGAGCCCCAGGCCGAGGGAGAUUGACAGUUAUUUUGUGUUUCUUCCAUUUGCGAAUAAUCGCACCAACUGUUGUCACCUUCUCACCAAGCUGCUUGGCGAUGGUCUUGUAGCCCAUUCCAGCCUUGUGUAGGUCUACAAUCUUGUCACUGACAUACUUGGAGAGCUCUUUGGUCUUGGCCAUAGUGGAGAGUUUGUAAUCUGAUUGAUUGAUUGCUUCUGUGGACAGGUGUAUUUUAUACAGGUAACAAGCUGAGAUUAUAUACUGUAUGCUCUGUCUAUAAGGGUCAGACUUAUACUGAGAGACAUCCUCGGGUGGGGUGCAACGAUACAACGUUGCAGACAGAAAUACAAUGCAUAAAGAAGGAGGAUUCCCUAUUCUACAUGGAACUGAAUCAUUUAUGUUCUACACAACAUAUUUCUACAUGAAUUUCCUGUGUUGCACCCUCCAGCACUCCCUCAAUCCCUGUAUGAUUUAUUGGUCAGAUGGUCUGGGAGCUCCACUCACACCAGCCAACUCUGUCAUGUUGAUUCAAUUAGUUGUGGGAUUAGUUGCGAGACAGGCAAACACACACACACACACACACACACACACACACACACACACACACACACACACACACACACACACACACACACACACACACACACACACACACACACACACACACACACACACACACACACCACAGAGUGAGAGGAUGGAGUUGAAUCAAAAGUGAAUGUCUCACUGGCUGUGUAUAUUUGUGGUGACAGGCACUGGAGCUCAUUUAGAGCAGUGAGCCUUCCCAGGCCAGUCCAGCUCAGCUCUUAAACUGAAAGUUACCCACAAGCCCCUUCUCCUCACUGAAUAAUUAUUGACUAAUGUAACAAAUGAAAUACCUCCCAAAUUCAAUGUUUAACUAUUACUGAGGUUUAUGUCUGGUAAAACAACAGGGGAAUGUUGAGGCUUACCCGUAGUCUGAUAAGGAAUGCGUUGUUUGCAUCGCUGAGGAGUGCCCAGGAAAGAAUUAAAUCCAAUUGUUAGAUGCUUCCACCCCCCCAAAUCCAAAUCAUACUGCAAGCCAACAUCAUGUAUAGGCUAGUGCUUAUGAAGAACGGAGUAUCAGCAAUGCGUGAAAUCUACAUUCUACAUUUAUAAACCGGAUUGUGUUUCGGAAUAUGAUGUGCAAGUGACAUCGUCCUAAAGUCCUAAGUCAUACUUACAGGUCAUACCUAAUCUUUUCAAUGGGCUUGAAGAUCAUAUCAUCAAAUUGAUGAAAACGCGUUCAUUUAAGAUAGAUAUAUAAAAUUAUGUGUUUGUGGAUUUACUUUUGUCAGAUGCCUUUUAUGACGUUUUUGUGCUGAAGACCAUCGUGCUACGUUUUUGCCCAUUGAAUACCAUUCAAAAAGCCAACAAAAGUUUUAAAAAAAUACAAGACUACUUCCUGAAAACGACCCUUUGCUAUGUCCCAUCCCAGAAUUUUGGGCAACCAAUUGCAGUACUCCGACGGAUAGCAACUGUCGCUAACAAAGCUUAUGUUUGACCUGCCUCGAACAAACUCUAGUUUCAAACACACGGAAGCCAUGGCAAAUACAGAGUUAAUAAUUUUUUAUUUGGCUAAAUAGUUGAUCAGUCCACCAGGGUUUCUUGCGACAAUGAUUCCUAAAAUGCAAAGCUUGUUUAUGGAGUAUUUUUCAAACUCAAAAUUAUAGUUUUGUUGCAUUGUUUGCUAGCUGGUUAUACUUUAGCUAGUUCUCGUUGACUACCUAUGAAAACGUCACUGACGCUAGCUAGCUAGCCAGUUAUUGUAACUCAAUUUCUCCAAACAAUAGGUCAUUUAUAAAUGUCAUCGUAUUUGCAAACAACUGUAAUGCAGUUCAGAUUAAAUCACCAUCAGAUCUUAUUUGAUACUUCUACUCGAUCAAGGCCUCACAUAGCAAAUUAGCAAUUACAUUUUAUGAUGACCAAAUUCAACACUCUCAUUGACCUCCAUAGAAAAUAUCCCCGCUUCCAAUGUUCACACUUUAUUUUCGCACUGACAUAUUUUGAGGCAGAUCAGCUCUAUUGCUUCACAUCUUCCUCAGCUAUCUCAGAUUUUUUUAUUUAAGUGAAUAACGUCAUUUUUCCCAUGAGGGACGACUCAUCUGGAAAGGUUCCAAAAUAAACCUAGAAAUAUAAGCAUAGUAUAACAUACAACACAUAACGAAAACACAGGCAUCAUAGAAAUGGGCAGGAGAACAGGAGUCCUCCUAACUGAGUUCUGAAUGGGUAGUAGAACAGGAGUCCUCCUAACUGAGUUCUGAAUGGGUAGUAGAACAGGAGUCCUCCUAACUGAGUUCUGAAUGGGUAGUAGAACAGGAGUCCUCCUAAUUGAGUUCUGAAUGGACAGUAGAACAGGAGUCCUCCUCAGUUCUGAAUGGGUAGUAGAACAGGAGUCCUCCUAAC
rnacentral:lncRNA from 1 species